rnacentral:rRNA from 1 species
AGUGAACGCUGGCGGUAGGCCUAACACAUGCAAGUCGAACGGCAGCACAGUAAGAGCUUGCUCUUACGGGUGGCGAGUGGCGGACGGGUGAGGAAUACAUCGGAAUCUACUUUUUCGUGGGGGAUAACGUAGGGAAACUUACGCUAAUACCGCAUACGACCUACGGGUGAAAGCAGGGGAUCUUCGGACCUUGCGCGAUUGAAUGAGCCGAUGUCGGAUUAGCUAGUUGGCGGGGUAAAGGCGCACCAAGGCGACGAUCCGUAGCGGGUCUGAGAGGAUGAUCAGCCACACUGGAACUGAGACACAGUCCAGACUCCGACGGGAGGCAGCAGUGGGGAAUAUUGGACAAUGGGCGCGAGCCUGAUCCAGCCAUACCGCGUGGGUGAAGAAGGCCUUCUGGUUGUAAAGCCCUUUUGUUGGGAAAGAAAAGCAGCAGGUUAAUACCCCGCUGUUCUGACGGUACCCAAAGAAUAAGCACCGGCUAACUUCGUG